AUGAUGUUCUGCCCAUACAUUGGCAAAAAAUUUACCUUCUGCAAAAGAGCAGUUAACAAUGUUUCCUUGAAUGCCAGAUUCCCAUGGUACCAGACGCCGAGGAGAACUGAUUUGGAUUCUGAGCGCACGGAGCUUGAAUUCCAUUCCAAUAGAAAGCAGUCAACAAAUUGCCUCAACACAUCACCUUUUCCACUGAAAACAUCAACCGCUGCUUCCAUAUCCAACUGAGUUUUUUCAACACCAGAAUCACUUUCUUCUACCUUCUUCUUCUUUUUAGUUUCAGGGGCCUGUGAACCUAAUUUAAUUACAGCUGUUCCAGCUUCCGCAACCUCAGCCUUCUGUGAUGAGUGACUGCUAUCCUUCCCAGUGUAGAAGGCCAGAUUCAGAAGCUUCAACGUCUGAAUUACACACUCCUCCCCAAAAUAAAAUAUUCCAUUCAAAAGGAAAGGAAGAACAUCACCAUGCCUUAAACAAUACUUUUGCCAAUUUCGAGGACGAGCUGCAGCGACUUCAGCCAUGGUUGUUAGGCACCUUACUAUCUUCACACUUCUCUCGUACGAGAUUGAACUUUGAAAUCCACCAGAUUUAUUUAUGUGUUUAUAGAGCUUUUUAACUUCAGUUGAGAACUGCCAAGAGUCUCGAACACUGUAGUAGUGUGUCUUACUACCACAGAGAUGCAGAAAAAGCCUCCUAGCAUACCUUCUAACAUAACUGGUGUUAGGAUUGUUGAUAUAGCUGCAAAG
rnacentral:misc_RNA from 1 species